AAGGUAUGCUUGCAGUCAGGAGGGCUGCAUGGCGUCCUGUGCUCUUCACUUGACUACCCUGGAGCGCUGUUACCCUUCAUGCAAAAAUGGCGCUGUUGAAAGAUCACUCCAGGUAUUGCUCUGAAAACAGGGGAGCUUCUAAGAGAGAGAUUUUCUUUUCUUCCUGUCCUGACUUCCUCAACACCUCCUGAUCCCAAGGAGCUACCAGGAAGUCUUGUGGUGCCUUCCUGAUUUUAGCUAAUGCUAUACUGCUUAGCUGUAUGAUACUGUUUAAAAAUGGUAAAACUAGGACACAGUUGACUUAUUUCAAGUUUGAAAUGAACCAGCAAUAAAGAACUGUAUGCUGGUUCUUACUGUAGCUGGACAUAACUGAGAAAAUGAAGAAUGAGAAACAAAGGAACAAUCUGAUUUCUUUCAGAUUUAUUUUGCCAAAACAGUGGUUUUACAGCCAGUCUUACUUUUCUGACUUUGCUUAUUUUUAAGAAGUUUUCAGUGGGAAUGGCUUAAAAUGCUAAUAGCUUAGCAGCACCCUGAAGGAAGCACCUGAGGCAAAUUAAGAGUAGUCAUUGAGCAUGGAGCUGGUGUUGAGUUCAAAUACUGGUCUAUCUGCUGAUUCUGUUUCUCAGCCAGCUCAGUGCCUGAGUUGGUCAGAUUCCUCCUAGAUCAGGACAUUCCUGCAAGGUGAAGCAACAAGGAUGGAUGGUCGUGUCUGUAUGAGUGGAUUAAAAAUAUUCUUUUUUAAUGAGUCUAUAUCCUGUUAACGCACUGGAUUCAGUAAGAGAGGACCACACCAGGGUUGUCUUCACACCAUCGAUGUGUUUGGCUUUCAGCUCCUGGCUAGGAGCUUCAUGGAAUCCAACAGCAGCAAACUUACCUGCUGGAGGAAACAGACAUUAUCUAGUAAUGAAAAAAAAACUAAUGCCUAUUCCAAAUUCCCAAGGGGAGAAUGGUGAUUGUUGACUCAGCUAAGUCAAGUGAAGACUGUAGAUUUAUCUGUAGAACUGAAGCACUUCCUGGUGUGGAAGUGGAAAAGGAAGUCUUGUAAUGUGUUUGAGUUCCUGCACAUUCUCUUUAAACACUGUGGUUGAAAAGUUUGUCCCAUGUAAGUGGACUAAAAGCAGUCAGUUAUUUUUGCAAGAUAAAAAUGUUUACACCCUUAUCUAAAGUCCUUUUUAAGUUACCACCAUAUUAAUCCAUAAUCUCCUUUGUCUUUUUGCUCCAUCUCUUCCUGAUUGAGCAGUAUCUUUCAUCACCAAUGCCUAUGUAAAUUCAUUUACCAAUAAUCUACGGGAGUAACCUGUCAAAUGCCCAUCAGUCAAAUGUUCCCUUCUUCCUCCAAAUAUGUUUUUUGUACAGCUUAGUCAAUUUUUCAAAAUUUUCUCUGGUGUCAUGCAGCAUUAGAAAUUGCUCUGUUCUGUGUGAAAAGCUGUAAAAAGGCAGUUGCUUGUCUAACAGGCACUUUCUGUGCAUCCUUUUUAAAUGGUUUCUCUGAACUUGGAAAAACUGUAAAAUAUUUUGAUGCAUUUUAAAGCUAACCCUGAAUAGAUGCAUUAAAUCACUGAAGGACCCAGUUCUGCAAGGCAGAGCAUUCUGACUCACGAUGAGACUCCCUGCAAUGGUCAUACCCUGAAAUACUACAACAUCGAAGAUUUGUGGUCAUAAGAAAAUGAAUGCUUGGAUUUCUCUAAGAGUGCUCUGAGACUGUGGUGGUGCAUAGCUACUGACCUCUAAAUGCGGUGCUGUGAAUUGCCUGAAGUUCCUGCUACAGUCGCAAUGUGGCCAUGAUCCGUUUCUGUCAUUUUUGGAAGAAAAGCCUUGGUAGUCUGUAAGGAACAAAAGAGAACUUAAUUUAUGUGCAAAUAAGCCUAUUGGUAAAUGUGAGUACAUCUCCCUAAGGUCUGUUUUGCUGAAGCUCAACUGGGUCACUGUCUUCAUUUAUUUCCAGUCUUAGCUGCAGGCUAAGUUACACCAAUGGCAGUUUCUUUCUUGUUGCCCUUUAAUCCAUUCUGUGGAAUUUGCGUUUGGGAUUUUCUUAUUCCAGAAGAUCAGUGUGGAUGAUAUGGCAGAUGCUUAUAAAAACAUUUUUUAACACACUGUCAGUGUGCUGACUGGUGUAUUUUGAUUACCAUAGCAUUCCACAAUGAGAUUGCUGACCUGACAGUUCAGAAGAGAGUGCUUUUCAUGGUUUCUUCAGGCAUUUUUUUUUUUAGGUCUAUUAGAAAAGUAUUUUAUGCUGGAAAAUUAUAAUCUGUACCAGAAAUGUCCUGAAUAUGGGAGCAUUUGGUGCUGGGGUUUUAGUUUUGAUCAUCACAUUGAGAAGUCAGAGGUCUCAACUCAAUAAAAGUUUGAAUUUGUUUUUAUCUAGUUCUGAUUUAAAAAAAAAAAAAGUUUAGCCAUUGGAGGCUGGCACGUGAAACAUUUAAUGAUCCCACACAGAUGAACAAGGUCUUUUUUUGGCAAUUAAGAAGCAUUUCUUCUUUUACCAUGUUUCCCCUUCCUUGGGCACUUGAGAAAAAGAAUGAUUGUAUGCUAGUACUCAAUGUUGGCAUUUAGCAGAAGCUGAAAACAUGUCCAUGUGAAGGUUUGUAUAAUAUAAAAGCAUUCUCCAGCUGCUGUGGUACUGUGAUAACAAUACAUGUUACUAGCUGCCUCUUAGCCAUAAUGUUAGCUUUGGCCACUCUUAGCAAGGUUAGACAGUGUAACUGGUCCUGCAUGGCUCUUCCAGGUGGAGCUGGAAUGUCAUGAGAGCAAACACAUGGACAUGAGACCAGAGAGGCUCAGCGCGCUGCUGCCUGCUGCUGUGUGACAAGAGAUCCCACCUUCCUUGGGAAGGGCUGAGGACGGCUGAUGGCUGCGGAACAGCUCUGAAUCGCACAGUGGCACCUCUGGCAGCAGCAGCCGUCGGCCAGAGGGAAAACGCUCUGCUUGGCCAAGCUUUCCGAACAGGAAUACCUGCACGCACGUAGUGAGGAUGCUGAGAAACACCUUCAGUGUGCUUCCAAGACUGCCAUGGGGCAUUCUCAAAGUGUCUCUGCUAGUUAUCGCAGAGUGAGUCAGAGCCCCCAGACCCGGAGCUAACGCUGCUGCCAAACUGCGAACAGCACAGGAGGAGAGCUGCUGCCGCACGGCCCAGCCGCAAGUCAGCCUGAGACCGGCCAGGU